rnacentral:SRP_RNA from 1 species
GCCGGGUGCGGUGGCAUGUGCCUGUAAUCCAAGUCACUGGGAGGCUGAGGUUGGUGGAUCAAGUGAGCUGAGGAGCUCUGGGCUGCAGCACUCUAUGUCGAACGGGUGUCCACGCUAAGUUCGGUAUCGAUAUGGUGUUCCUGGGGAGCCCGGGACCACCAGGUUGUCUAAGGAGGGGUGAACCGGCCCAGGUCGGAAACGAAGCAGGUCAAAUCCCCCGUGCUGUCCAGUAGUGGGAUAAUACCUGUGAGUAGAUGCUGCAGUGCAGCCUUGGCAAAACAUCUUUU